GAUGAAGAACGCAGCGAAAUGCGAUACGUAAUGAGAAUUGCAGAAUUCAGUGAAUCAUCGAGUCUUUGAACGCACAUUGCGCCCCCUGGUAUUCCGGGGGGCAUGCCUGUCCGAGCGUCAUUGCUGCCCUCAAGCACGGCUUGUGUGUUGGGCCUCCGUCCUCCUCCCGGGGGACGGGCCCGAAAGGCAGCGGCGGCACCGCGUCCGGUCCUCGAGCGUAUGGGGCUUCGUCACCCGCUCUUGUAGGCCCGGCCGGCGCUUGCCGACACAUCAAUCUUUUUUCCAGGUUGACCUCGGAUCAGGUAGGGAUACCCGCUGAACUUAAGCAUAUCAAUAAGCGGAGGA
rnacentral:misc_RNA from 1 species